rnacentral:rRNA from 1 species
UUCUUUCCUCCCGAGUGCUUGCACUCAAUUGGAAAGAGGAGUGGCGGACGGGCGAGUAACACGUGGGUAACCUACCCAUCAGAGGGGGAUAACACUUGGAAACAGGUGCUAAUACCGCAUAACAGUUCAUGCCGCAUGGCAUAAGAGUGAAAGGCGCUUUCGGGUGUCGCUGAUGGAUGGACCCGCGGUGCAUUAGCUAGUUGGUGAGGUAACGGCUCACCAAGGCCACGAUGCAUAGCCGACCUGAGAGGGUGAUCGGCCACACUGGGACUGAGACACGGCCCAGACUCCUACGGGAGGCAGCAGUAGGGAAUCUUCGGCAAUGGACGAAAGUCUGACCGAGCAACGCCGCGUGAGUGAAGAAGGUUUUCGGAUCGUAAAACUCUGUUGUUAGAGAAGAACAAGGACGUUAGUAACUGAACGUCCCCUGACGGUAUCUAACCAGAAAGCCACGGCUAACUACGUGCCAGCAGCCGCGGUAAUACGUAGGUGGCAAGCGUUGUCCGGAUUUAUUGGGCGUAAAGCGAGCGCAGGCGGUUUCUUAAGUCUGAUGUGAAAGCCCCCGGCUCAACCGGGGAGGGUCAUUGGAAACUGGGAGACUUGAGUGCAGAAGAGGAGAGUGGAAUUCCAUGUGUAGCGGUGAAAUGCGUAGAUAUAUGGAGGAACACCAGUGGCGAAGGCGGCUCUCUGGUCUGUAACUGAC